GGGUUGUGAGGUUAAGCGACUAAGCGUACACGGUGGAUGCCCUGGCAGUCAGAGGCGAUGAAGGACGUGCUAAUCUGCGAAAAGCGUCGGUAAGGUGAUAUGAACCGUUAUAGCCGGCGAUGUCCGAAUGGGGAAACCCAGUGUGAUUCGUCACACUAUCGUUAACUGAAUACAUAGGUUAACGAGGCGAACCGGGGGAACUGAAACAUCUAAGUACCCCGAGGAAAAGAAAUCAACCGAGAUUCCCCCAGUAGCGGCGAGCGAACGGGGAGCAGCCCAGAGUCUGAAUCAGCUUGUGUGUUAGUGGAACGGUCUGGAAAGUCCGACGGUACAGGGUGAUAGUCCCGUACACCAAAAUGCACAGGCUGUGAACUCGAAGAGUAGGGCGGGACACGUGGUAUCCUGUCUGAAUAUGGGGGGACCAUCCUCCAAGGCUAAAUACUCCUGACUGACCGAUAGUGAACCAGUACCGUGAGGGAAAGGCGAAAAGAACCCCGGCGAGGGGAGUGAAAAAGAACCUGAAACCGUGUACGUACAAGCAGUGGGAGCACCUUCGGGUGUGACUGCGUACCUUUUGUAUAAUGGGUCAGCGACUUAUAUUCUGUAGCAAGGUUAACCGUAUAGGGGAGCCGCAGGGAAACCGAGUCUUAACUGGGCGUUAAGUUGCAGGGUAUAGACCCGAAACCCGGUGAUCUAGCCAUGGGCAGGUUGAAGGUUGGGUAACACUAACUGGAGGACCGAACCGACUAAUGUUGAAAAAUUAGCGGAUGACUUGUGGCUGGGGGUGAAAGGCCAAUCAAACCGGGAGAUAGCUGGUUCUCCCCGAAAGCUAUUUAGGUAGCGCCUCGUGAACUCAUCUUCGGGGGUAGAGCACUGUUUCGGCUAGGGGGUCAUCCCGACUUACCAACCCGAUGCAAACUACGAAUACCGAAGAAUGUUAUCACGGGAGACACACGGCGGGUGCUAACGUCCGUCGUGAAGAGGGAAACAACCCAGACCGCCAGCUAAGGUCCCAAAGUCAUGGUUAAGUGGGAAACGAUGUGGGAAGGCACAGACAGCCAGGAUGUUGGCUUAGAAGCAGCCAUCAUUUAAAGAAAGCGUAAUAGCUCACUGGUCGAGUCGGCCUGCGCGGAAGAUGUAACGGGGCUAAACCAUGCACCGAAGCUGCGGCAGCGACACUAUGUGUUGUUGGGUAGGGGAGCGUUCUGUAAGCCUGCGAAGGUGUGCUGUGAGGCAUGCUGGAGGUAUCAGAAGUGCGAAUGCUGACAUAAGUAACGAUAAAGCGGGUGAAAAGCCCGCUCGCCGGAAGACCAAGGGUUCCUGUCCAACGUUAAUCGGGGCAGGGUGAGUCGACCCCUAAGGCGAGGCCGAAAGGCGUAGUCGAUGGGAAACAGGUUAAUAUUCCUGUACUUGGUGUUACUGCGAAGGGGGGACGGAGAAGGCUAUGUUAGCCGGGCGACGGUUGUCCCGGUUUAAGCAUGUAGGCUGGUUAUCCAGGCAAAUCCGGAUAAUCAAGGCUGAGGUGUGAUGACGAGGCACUACGGUGCUGAAGUAACAAAUGCCCUGCUUCCAGGAAAAGCCUCUAAGCAUCAGGUAACAUCAAAUCGUACCCCAAACCGACACAGGUGGUCAGGUAGAGAAUACCAAGGCGCUUGAGAGAACUCGGGUGAAGGAACUAGGCAAAAUGGUGCCGUAACUUCGGGAGAAGGCACGCUGGUGUGUAGGUGAAGUCCCUGCGGAUGGAGCUGAGACCAGUCGAAGAUACCAGCUGGCUGCAACUGUUUAUUAAAAACACAGCACUGUGCAAACACGAAAGUGGACGUAUACGGUGUGACGCCUGCCCGGUGCCGGAAGGUUAAUUGAUGGGGUUAUCCGUAAGGAGAAGCUCUUGAUCGAAGCCCCGGUAAACGGCGGCCGUAACUAUAACGGUCCUAAGGUAGCGAAAUUCCUUGUCGGGUAAGUUCCGACCUGCACGAAUGGCGUAAUGAUGGCCAGGCUGUCUCCACCCGAGACUCAGUGAAAUUGAACUCGCUGUGAAGAUGCAGUGUACCCGCGGCAAGACGGAAAGACCCCGUGAACCUUUACUAUAGCUUGACACUGAACAUUGAGCCUUGAUGUGUAGGAUAGGUGGGAGGCUUUGAAGCGUGGACGCCAGUCUGCGUGGAGCCAACCUUGAAAUACCACCCUUUAAUGUUUGAUGUUCUAACGUUGGCCCCUGACCGGGGUUGCGGACAGUGUCUGGUGGGUAGUUUGACUGGGGCGGUCUCCUCCCAAAGCGUAACGGAGGAGCACGAAGGUUAGCUAAUCCUGGUCGGACAUCAGGAGGUUAGUGCAAUGGCAUAAGCUAGCUUGACUGCGAGCGUGACGGCGCGAGCAGGUGCGAAAGCAGGUCAUAGUGAUCCGGUGGUUCUGAAUGGAAGGGCCAUCGCUCAACGGAUAAAAGGUACUCCGGGGAUAACAGGCUGAUACCGCCCAAGAGUUCAUAUCGACGGCGGUGUUUGGCACCUCGAUGUCGGCUCAUCACAUCCUGGGGCUGAAGUAGGUCCCAAGGGUAUGGCUGUUCGCCAUUUAAAGUGGUACGCGAGCUGGGUUUAGAACGUCGUGAGACAGUUCGGUCCCUAUCUGCCGUGGGCGCUGGAGAAUUGAGGGGGGCUGCUCCUAGUACGAGAGGACCGGAGUGGACGCAUCACUGGUGUUCGGGUUGUCAUGCCAAUGGCACUGCCCGGUAGCUAAAUGCGGAAGAGAUAAGUGCUGAAAGCAUCUAAGCACGAAACUUGCCCCGAGAUGAGUUCUCCCUGAGACUUUAAGUCUCCUGAAGGAACGUUGAAGACGACGACGUUGAUAGGCCGGGUGUGUAAGCGCAGCGAUGCGUUGAGCUAACCGGUACUAAUGAACCGUGAGGCUUAACCUUACAACGCCGAAG
rnacentral:rRNA from 1 species